rnacentral:rRNA from 1 species
AGAGUUUGAUCAUGGCUCAGGACGAACGCUAGCGGCACGCUUAACACAUGCAAGUCGAAUGCCAACCGUCUCCUUCGGGAGGCUUAGUAGCAUGGCGAACGGGUGAGUAACGCGUAGGUAACCUACCCUCAAGCGGGGGAUAAGCCCGGGAAACUGGGUACAAUACCGCAUGUUACUCUUUGAUCGCAUGAUCGAAGAAUCAAAGCCUUCGGGCACUUGGGGAUGGACCUGCGUUCUAUUAGUUAGUUGGUGAGGUAACGGCUCACCAAGGCGACGAUGGAUAGCUGGUUUGAGAGGAUGAUCAGCCACACUGGGACUGAGAUACGGCCCAGACUCCUACGGGAGGCAGCAGUGAGGAAUAUUGCACAAUGGACGAAAGUCUGAUGCAGCGAUGCCGCGUGAACGAUGAAGCCCUGCGGGGUGUAAAGUUCUUUUCUGAGGGAAGAAUGCUUGUUUCGGCAAGAGAGACGGUACCUCAGGAAUAAGCUCCGGCCAACUACGUGCCAGCAGCCGCGGUAAUACGUAGGGAGCAAGCGUUGUCCGGAUUUACUGGGCGUAAAGGGCGUGUAGGUGGAAUGGUCAGUCAAGGGUGAGAUGUACGAGCUUAACUCGUAAAUUGCCCUCGAUACUGCCAUUCUUGAGUGCAGGAGGGGGAAGUGGAAUUCCUGGUGUAGCGGUGGAAUGCGCAGAUAUCAGGAGGAACACCGGUGGCGAAGGCGGCUUCCUGGCCUGACACUGACACUGAGGCGCGAAAGCGUGGGUAGCAAACAGGAUUAGAUACCCUGGUAGUCCACGCUGUAAACGAUGGGUACUAGAUGUAGGAGGAAUCGAUCCCCUCUUUUGUCGUAGCUAACGCGUUAAGUACCCCGCCUGGGGAGUACGAUCGCAAGGUUGAAACUCAAAGGAAUUGACGGGGCCCCGCACAAGCGGUGGAGCAUGUGGUUUAAUUCGAUGCAACGCGCAGAACCUUACCUAGCCUGGAAUUCAAGCUGCACAUCCGGUGAAAACCGGACUCCUUCGAGGGUGCUUGAGAGGUGUUGCAUGGCUGUCGUCAGCUCGUGUCGUGAGAUGUUGGGUUAAGUCCCGCAACGAGCGCAACCCCUAUCGUUAGUUGCCAUCAGGUCCUUCGGGAUGCUGGGAACUCUAGCGAGACUGCCUGGGUUAACCAGGAGGAAGGUGGGGAUGAUGUCAAGUCCUCAUGGCCCUUAUGGCUAGGGCUACACACGUGCUACAAUGGGUGGUACAGAGGGUCGCGAUACCGCGAGGUGGAGCUAAUCCCACAAAGCCAUCCUCAGUUCGGAUUGCAGUCUGCAACUCGACUGCAUGAAGUUGGAAUCGCUAGUAAUCGCUGAUCAGCAGGCAGCGGUGAAUACGUUCCCGGGGCUUGUACACACCGCCCGUCACACCAUGGAAGUCGGUAGCGCCCGAAGUCGCUGAGCUAACCGCAAGGAAGCAGGCGCCGAAGGUGAGAUCGGUAACUGGGGUGAAGUCGUAACAAGGUA